rnacentral:rRNA from 1 species
CACGUAGGGUGCGAGCGUUGUCCGGAAUUAUUGGGCGUAAAGAGCUCGUAGGCGGUGUGUCGCGUCGGCCGUGAAAACCUGCAGCUUAACUGUGGGCUUGCGGUCGAUACGGGCAUCACUGGAGUUCGGCAGGGGAGACUGGAAUUCCUGGUGUAGCGGUGAAAUGCGUAGAUAUCGUAAGGAAGACCAGUGGCGAAGGCGGGUCUCUGGACAGUUUCUGACACUGAUGCGCGACAGCGUGGGGGAGCAAACAGG